GAUGAACGCUAGCGGCAGGCUUAAUACAUGCAAGUUGAGGGGCAGCAUGAUAUACGCGAGUAUAUUGAUGGCGACCGGCGGACGGGUGAGUAAUAGGUAGGAGACCUACCUCAUACAGGGGGAUAGCAUAGAGAAAUCUGUGGUAAUACCCCAUGAGGUUAUAUGAAUAGAGGCAUAUAAUCAAAGCAUAAGCGAUUAUGCGGUAUGAGAGGGGCCUACUGACCAUUAGCUAGUUGGUGAGGUAAGGGCUCACCAAGGCGAAGAUGGUUAGGGGUUUUGAGAGAGAGACCCCCCACAUUGGAACUGAGAGACGGUCCAGACUCCUACGGGAGGCAGCAGUAGGGAAUAUUGGGCAAUGGGCGAAAGCCUGACCCAGCCAUGCCGCGUGAAGGAAGACGGCCUUAUGGGUUGUAAACUUCUUUACUACGCGAAUAGAGGUUAGUACGAGAUACUAAUAGGAAGGUAGUGUAGUAAAAAGCACGGCUAACUCCGUGCC
rnacentral:rRNA from 1 species